rnacentral:rRNA from 1 species
UACGUAGGUGGCAAGCGUUGUCCGGAUUUACUGGGCGUAAAGAGCGCGCAGGCGGUCGUUCAAGUCGCGUGUGAAAGCCCCCGGCUCAACUGGGGAGGGUCACGCGAUACUGAUCGACUGGAAGGCAGGAGAGGGUAGUGGAAUUCCCGGUGUAGUGGUGAAAUGCGUAGAUAUCGGGAGGAACACCAGUGGCGAAGGCGACUACCUGGCCUGUUCUUGACGCUGAGGCGCGAAAGCUGGGGGAGCAAACGGG